UCUAGCGGCGGACGGGUGAGUAACGCGUGAGCAACCUGCCUUUAUCAGGGGGAUAACGCAUCGAAAGAUGUGCUAAUACCGCGUAAGACCACAGCCUCACAUGGGGCAGGGGUCAAAGGAGCAAUCCGGAUAAAGAUGGGCUCGCGUCCGAUUAGCUAGUUGGUGAGAUAACAGCCCACCAAGGCGACGAUCGGUAGCCGACCUGAGAGGGUGAUCGGCCACAUUGGAACUGAGAGACGGCCCAAACUCC
rnacentral:rRNA from 1 species